rnacentral:lncRNA from 1 species
UUUUAUGUGCCAGUAGACCUGAGUUUAGUUUACCAAUUUUACUUAAAUAGUAAAAGCCACUUACAAAGUGACUGCCUAGGGUUGAUUCUCCUUUUGUUUAAAGGGAUUGGUGAUACGUCGUCGUUCUAAAAGAAAUGUUUGGUCUCUUCUAUUUGGUUCUGAUGUUUGAAUCUUUUCCCCCUCUUUCCUUUGUUCUUUUUAUUUUUUCUUUCUUUCCUUCUCUCUUUCUUUCUUUCUUUCUUUCUUUCCUUCUUUCUUUCUUUCUUUCUUUCUUUCUUUCUUUCUAAAUAAAGUAUGAUGUUGGGAUUGGAAGCCCUGAGUAAUGAAAUAUUUGGUAAGGAUCAUUUCAUGUAGCUCAAUAAUCAUGACAGCAAACCUCUGUGAGAAGGUUGAUUCUGGGGAGGAAAGCAAAACUACAAAAACUCUGAUUGACUUUUGAUGACCAAGUAAAUUUUCCUUGAAUAAAUUAGCAUUUCU